rfam:Octopus bimaculoides Scaffold123954_contig_7, whole genome shotgun sequence.
GUCAGUCCGGCCUGAAAUUUUGACUCUGACCUCUUCAUCAAAGAAGGUGAGCAAAGUUUCAGGUGUAGUUGAUG